rnacentral:sRNA from 1 species
GUAUUCUAGAUGACGACACUGAAGCACAGAGAGACGCCCUGCUGGCGGACUUGGAGUCUACCACCUCCCACAUCUCCAAACGGCCUGUGUUCUUGUCGGAGGAGACCCCCUACUCAUACCCAACUGGAAACCACACAUACCAGGAGAUUGCCGUGCCACCCCCCGUCCCCCCACCCCCGUCCAGCGAGGCCCUCAAUGGCACAAUCCUUGACCCCUUAGACCAGUGGCAGCCCAGCGGCUCCCGAUUCAUCCACCAGCAGCCUCAGUCCUCAUCACCUGUGUACGGCUCCAGUGCCAAAACUUCCAGUGUCUCCAACCCUCAGGACGGUGUUGGCUCUCCGUGCUCCCGAGUGGGUGAGGAGGAGCACGUCUACAGCUUCCCCAACAAGCAGAAAUCAGCUGAGCCUUCACCCACCGUAAUGAGCACGUCCCUGGGCAGCAACCUUUCUGAACUCGACCGCCUGCUGCUGGAACUGAACGCUGUACAGCAUAACCCACCAGGCUUCCCUGCAGAUGAGGCCAACUCAAGCCCCCCGCUUCCUGGGGCCCUGAGCCCCCUCUAUGGUGUCCCAGAGACUAACAGCCCCU